AGGGUAUUUAUAGCCUGGAGCGUGAGGGGGCAAGGACACGCGCUUUAUUUCGGAAGUGAUAAUUCCAGCUCCAGUGUCCACCAGGCCCUCCUUGGAAGAAGCCACAAGUAAGCAUCAGGACACCCUUCACCUCAUGAAAAGCCACAGCAGAAGCCAACCAGGCUGUCUGGCCCAGGCAGCUGCCCGGCACUUCGGAGAAACUGAGGCUCAAACCACUCCAGAGAUGACAAGUCCUGUCACCUUCAGGGAGGCGGAGGCCAAAGACAAAACUUGAAGGUCAGAGUCCAAGGCUGCCAAGCUUCGCCCCUGGGAAAUAAAACUUAUCAAAAAUGCUA
rnacentral:lncRNA from 1 species